rnacentral:rRNA from 2 species
GAUUUCUGGUUGACCAUCCUGGCCCGCGUCCUUCCGGGCGUGUGUGCUGGUAUGAGUCUUCCAUCCUUCUAGAGAGCCACGCCUGCUGUUCACUCAGCUGGGCGUGUGCGAUCUAGAUCAUUUACUUUGAAAAAAUUAGAGUGUUUAAAGCAGGCUUAUGCCCGAAUACAUUAGCAUGGAAUAAUAAAAUAGGACUUCGGUUCUAUUUUGUUGGUUUCUAGAACUGAAGUAAUGAUUGAUAGGGAUAGUUGGGGGUGCUAGUAUUCAGUGGCCAGAGGUGAAAUUCUUGGAUUCACUGAAGACUAACUACUGCGAAAGCAUU